CUUUCUUUUUCUCUUUCCUUUCUUUUCUUUUCUUUUCUUUUCUCUUCUUUUCUUUUCUCUUCUCUUUUCUCUUUUCUCUUUUCUCUUUCCUCUUUCCUCUUUCCUCUUUCCUCUUUCCUCUUUCCUCUUUUCUCUUUCCUCUUUUCUCUUUUCUCUUUUCUCUUUUCUUUCUUUCCUUCCUUCCUUCCUUCCUUCCUUCCUUCCUUCCUU
rnacentral:lncRNA from 1 species